UAAAAAAAAAAAAACCGCAGCGUAGUUACCAAAGAGCCAAUAAUUACAACACUUCACCACAUCCGAUGCGACUAAAAGAUAAGUUGCUAUAGAGAAUCUUCAAUUAAACUGAAAACUGUUUGGCAUUCAAAGCGUUGCUGUUCGUGCACUUGAAAUAAGAUGCACUUAUUUCAUUGUUGUAAAAUCUUUGCGAGAUUUUGCAAUGAAGCCAAAGGGUCUUAAGCUUAAAAUUUUUGUAAAUGCCAUAUUAUAGUAUUAUGUAUAAUUCUAAUUGAUAAUAGCUUACGUACUACAUAAUACGUAUUUCCGAUUUGGUAUAGGUAAUUUCAUAUAAAAGUUAAAUAUUAAUUAAAGUAAGUUCCUAAUUUUUUCACUCGUGAUUUUUUCUUCCGAAAAGUACUAGGAAUUUUCAAUCUUAUGGAGAAAGGAAUUUUCAAUAACUUUUUGAUUUGAAAGUUUGUGAAAUGAAAGUACCAACUGACCUUGCACCUUUCGGCAAGGGCAAAGACUACCUUAUUAUCAAUGACCUUGGUGAUUUGUCCCAAAGUAGUCUCAUUUGAUUACCCACCAUUAAGGCAAUGGUCUGAAGUCUAGGUGUUUCUGGAAUUUAGGUGGUGAUGAGGUGAUCCUAGAUUUGAGGUAGUCUCGCUGUUUUCCAGAGCCUUAAUUGGUCUAAUUUUUUUUUAUGAAUAUUUGGCCAAAUUGCUUUAAAAAUAUUUUGCUGUUGUACGCUUUCCUAAAAGCAUUAUUUUUUCAUAUUUUCUAGAACAGCAUGUCCUAAACAUUAACAUUAUGGCUUUGGAGUAAUUUGCUCAUUUUGAAAUAAUUUGCACAUGUCACUGGGACAGACUUGCAGUUCUACAGAUUUAAGAGUAGGGAAGUGUGAAUUUCUUGUUCGCAUUGACAUUGUUUCCUGGAAAGUGUUUGUUCCGGAUGUGGAAGGCUGCUCGAAACUUGCUUAGACCUUGACUAUAACAACCUUUUUGGUUGAUUGGCUUAUGAAAAUUAAGCUAUAAAUCCAAGCACUAAUUACUUUAUCCUUUAGCACCUAAUUGACUUUACUAGUCUGGUCGAAUUUUUGUCUCAAGGGAGAAUUAGUGGUGGGGUUCCUACAGUGGUCCCUUCUAAACCUCAUGAGGUGUAUUAAGAUUUCGGCUAGGCAUAAGCUAUUGAGCUGAUCUGGUGGAAGAGGUUAGUGCAAAGCAAAAUUGCCUUUAAACUUAAUCAGCAACUAAACCCCUGAUUUUAGUCCAAAUGAGUGUGUGUUCAUCCAAACAUUAAUACGCUGCUGAAUUCUCUGGGGGUAUCCCAGAAGAAGGUGAAAUAAGACUGACAAAAGCCAUGGCUGCAGUGAGAGGGAACUGCAUCGACAUGACUCGGGUGGAACGAAGGAACCAGGUGUCUCGAGCCACACUGUGUCGUCUAUCAAUAUGCAGCGAGUACCACCUCAUACUAGAGUUCGCGCAGGAAUGUAGGUGGUUGAACGCCGGCAAGUGAAUGAAAAGGUCGUCUAGAGAGUAUCCGCCUGAACUCACUUCAAAUGCAAGAACGUAAUGUAAAAUAUAACUAAACCAAGGAAAUUUGCAGAUGCAGAAGCGUCAUGUCAGAUGUGAUUAAGUUGAGAGCCCAGUGCCGAUACAGUAGCGUCAUGGCAGAUGUGAUGCUUCAAGAACCCACUGCAGAUACAGAAGUGUCCUGUCAGAUGUGAAUCUGAAUCCACUGCAGAUACAGAAACGUGUAGUAACUAAGCCAUUUCAGAUACAGAAACUUCGUGUCGUGUCAAAUGUGAAGCAGUCGAACCAACAGCAGUUACAGAAGCGACAUGUCAGAUAUGAUAAGUCCACUACAGAAAAAGCGAAGAAAUAGAUUAUUAUUCCACUGCAAAUCGAAGAAAAAUUUUUCUCUGAACGAGAGACAUCAAAGAAGCAAAGUUUAAGAGAAAUAUUUUAAUUACAAUAACUACUUAAUGAAAUACUAAAAUUAAAAGAAAAAUGUUUAUAGCAACUUCUCAUUUUCUUUGAAUUAAACUAAAAAUGUGUGACCUUCCCUGCUUUAUAUUACUUCCAUCCAUCCCUGGUAUUUUACGAUGAUUAUCUCUGAGAUUUCUGUAAAGUUAUUAAAUGCAUUAUUCUCCCACUAGUCCCAGUAGAAAAGAACUAAUUUCCUCCGUUCCAUUACUUGGGAAUGACAAAUAGCAGUCCGAAGUGUGCGCUAAACUUCCCCUGAAAGUUAUUUUCCCAACUAAGUCCAUGAAUAGACCCCUCAAAUAGCCAAAAAGGUUUAAAGCUUUUAUAGCAUCAGUAGAAGCUUAAGUGAAAAUACCUCCUUAGGAAUAACAACUUUCGGGAAAAACUAAAUAACUAACACUUCGGAGUCAUUCCCCACAAAGGAACUGGUGAUAUAGGAGUUUGUAGUAGGCAGCUGGAGAACUUUUGUCUUCUGAAAAACCAGAAUAGUGUUAAUUACUCGUAGACAUUAAAAAAGCUAAGUUAUCAAUCUAGCAAUAAUUUCACGUUAUCAAUCUAGCAAUAAUCUCACGUUAUCAAUCUCGCAA